rnacentral:rRNA from 1 species
CGGGACGGGUGAGUAAUGUCUGGGGAAACGCCCGAUGGAGGGGGAUAACUACUGGAAACGGUAGCUAAUACCGCAUAACGUCGCAAGACCAAAGAGGGGGACCUUAGGGCCUCUUGCCAUCGGAUGUGCCCAGAUGGGAUUAGCUAGUAGGUGGGGUAAUGGCUCACCUAGGCGACGAUCCCUAGCUGGUCUGAGAGGAUGACCAGCCACACUGGAACUGAGACACGGUCCAG